UAGCUCAGUGGUAGAGCACUUGCUUGGCAUGCAUGAGGCCCUGGGCUCAAUCCUCAG
rnacentral:tRNA from 1 species